rnacentral:rRNA from 1 species
UACGUAGGGGGCUAGCGUUGUCCGGAAUCAUUGGGCGUAAAGCGCGUGUAGGCGGUCCGGUAAGUCCGCUGUGAAAGUCGAGGGCUCAACCCUCGAAUGCCGGUGGAUACUGUCGGGCUCGAGUCCGGAAGAGGCGAGUGGAAUUCCUGGUGUAGCGGUGAAAUGCGCAGAUAUCAGGAGGAACACCAAUGGCGAAGGCAGCUCGCUGGGACGUGACUGACGCUGAGACGCGAAAGCGUGGGGAGCAAACAGG